rnacentral:rRNA from 1 species
UACGAAGGGGGGCUAGCGUUGUCCGGAAUUAUUGGGCGUAAAGAGCUCGUAGGCGGCUCAGUAAGUCAGGUGUGAAAAACUCCAGGCUCAACCUGGAGACGCCACUUGAUACUGCUGUGGCUAGAGUCCGGUAGGGGGAGCAUGGAAUUCCUGGUGUAGCGGUGAAAUGCGCAGAUAUCAGGAGGAACACCAGUGGCGAAGGCGGUGCUCUGGGGCCGGAACUGACGCUGAGGAGCGAAAGCGUGGGGAGCAAACAGG